rnacentral:snoRNA from 1 species
AUCCUUUUGUAGUUCAUGAGCGUGAUGACUGGGUGUUCACGCACCUGCGUGACGUGUGCCUCCCUCAAUUCUUGUUACGACAUUGGCACAUUACCCGUUUGAUG